GACGAACGCUGGCGGCGUGCUUAACACAUGCAAGUCGAACGGAAAGGCCCUGCUUUUGUGGGGUGCUCGAGUGGCGAACGGGUGAGUAACACGUGAGUAACCUGCCCUUGACUUUGGGAUAACUUCAGGAAACUGGGGCUAAUACAGGAUAGGAGCUCUUGCUGCAUGGUGGGGGUUGGAAAGUUUCGGCGGUUGGGGAUGGACUCGCGGCUUAUCAGCUUGUUGGUGGGGUAGUGGCUUACCAAGGCUUUGACGGGUAGCCGGCCUGAGAGGGUGACCGGCCACAUUGGGACUGAGGUACGGCCCGGACUCCUACGGGAGGCAGCAGUGGAGGAUAUUGCGCGAUGGGCGGAAGCCUGAUGCAGCAACGCCGCGUGCGGGAUGACGGCCUUCGGAUUGUAAACCGCUUUCGCCUGUGACGAAGCGUGAGUGACGGUAAUGGGUAAAGAAGCACCGGCUAACUACGUG
rnacentral:rRNA from 1 species